rnacentral:rRNA from 1 species
GGAGCACAGAGCAAUCUGUGUGACUGCGUACCUUUUGUAUAAUGGGUCAGCGACUUAUAUUCUGUAGCAAGGUUAACCGAAUAGGGGAGCCGAAGGGAAACCGAGUCUUAACUGGGCGUUAAGUUGCAGGGUAUAGACCCGAAACCCGGUGAUCUAGCCAUGGGCAGGUUGAAGGUUGGGUAACACUAACUGGAGGACCGAACCGACUAAUGUUGAAAAAUUAGCGGAUGACUUGUGGCUGGGGGUGAAAGGCCAAUCAAACCGGGAGAUAGCUGGUUCUCCCCGAAAGCUAUUUAGGUAGCGCCUCGUGAAUUCAUCUCCGGGGGUAGAGCACUGUUUCGGCAAGGGGGUCAUCCCGACUUACCAACCCGAUGCAAACUGCGAAUACCGGAGAAUGUUAUCACGGGAGACACACGGCGGGUGCUAACGUCCGUCGUGAAGAGGGAAACAACCCAGACCGCCAGCUAAGGUCCCAAAGUCAUGGUUAAGUGGGAAACGAUGUGGGAAGGCCCAGACAGCCAGGAUGUUGGCUUAGAAGCAGCCAUCAUUUAAAGAAAGCGUAAUAGCUCACUGGUCGAGUCGGCCUGCGCGGAAGAUGUAACGGGGCUAAACCAUGCACCGAAGCUGCGGCAGCGACGCUGAUGCGUUGUUGGGUAGGGGAGCGUUCUGUAAGCCUGCGAAGGUGUGCUGUGAGGCAUGCUGGAGGUAUCAGAAGUGCGAAUGCUGACAUAAGUAACGAUAAAGCGGGUGAAAAGCCCGCUCGCCGGAAGACCAAGGGUUCCUGUCCAACGUUAAUCGGGGCAGGGUGAGUCGACCCCUAAGGCGAGGCCGAAAGGCGUAGUCGAUGGGAAACAGGUUAAUAUUCCUGUACUUGGUGUUACUGCGAAGGGGGGACGGAGAAGGCUAUGUUGGCCGGGCGACGGUUGUCCCGGUUUAAGCGUGUAGGCUGGUUUUCCAGGCAAAUCCGGAAAAUCAAGGCUGAGGCGUGAUGACGAGGCACUACGGUGCUGAAGCAACAAAUGCCCUGCUUCCAGGAAAAGCCUCUAAGCAUCAGGUAACAUCAAAUCGUACCCCAAACCGACACAGGUGGUCAGGUAGAGAAUACCAAGGCGCUUGAGAGAACUCGGGUGAAGGAACUAGGCAAAAUGGUGCCGUAACUUCGGGAGAAGGCACGCUGAUAUGUAGGUGAAGUCCCUCGCGGAUGGAGCUGAAAUCAGUCGAAGAUACCAGCUGGCUGCAACUGUUUAUUAAAAACACAGCACUGUGCAAACACGAAAGUGGACGUAUACGGUGUGACGC